rnacentral:rRNA from 1 species
GACGAACGCUGGCGGCGUGCUUAGCACAUGCAAGUCGAGCGGUAAGGCCCCUUCGGGGGUACACGAGCGGCGAACGGGUGAGUAACACGUGAGCAAUCUGCCCAUCACAUCGGGAUAACUCCGGGAAACCGAAGCUAAUACCGAAUACGACCACCUCCGGCAUCGGAUGGUGGUGGAAAGUUCCGGCGGUGAUGGAUGAGCCCGCGGCCUAUCAGCUUGUUGGUGGGGUAACGGCCCACCAAGGCUUCGACGGGUAGCCGGCCUGAGGGGGUGACCGGCCACACUGGGACUGAGACACGGCCCAGACUCCUACGGGAGGCAGCAGUGGGGAAUAUUGGACAAUGGGCGAAAGCCUGAUCCAGCAACGCCGCGUGAGGGAUGACGGCCUUCGGGUUGUAAACCUCUUUCAGCAGGGACGAAGCGCAAGUGACGGUACCUGCAGAAGAAGCACCGGCCAACUACGUG